GCUACGAAUAUUUUCCACUUUCCAGAAAUGCCCUCUCGUUCGUUCACCUCACCAACUCGAGCUCUCUCUCUCUGGUUCCCCUCUCACCUACCCCCUUCUCGCUCCCCUCCAGAUCCCCGUCGUCGCCGGCUUCUCCUCGUCGUCGUUCGCCGGCCUCUCCUCGCCACCACCACGCACUCUGUUUCCUCCGGCCGCGCACACCGCACCGUAGGUCAAAAGCUUGCUUUUUUAGGCGCCGUCGACCAACUUAUGGGCGGCGGAGGAUGGAUCCGCGUGCACCAAAGCUGGAUCCGCGCGUGUCGACGCCGUAGCAGCGGAGCAGGGCUAUAGCAGCGCCGUCCUCCUCACGACCACAUAGCCGCGUCGGCGAAGGACUCGAAUCCCUAGUCAGCGAGCUCAGGCAGCCAUGGAUCCAUGGUCGAUGCCAUGGAAGAGCCACCAACAGCAACAGCUAAGAUAUGGACAUGCAGGCCACUGCCCUUCCUGAUGCAUCAUGCGUGCUGCCCUCCCUAACCACCGCUUCUCGGACUCUACUUCUUCCUUGGUCACCAUGGAAGAGCCUGUAGGAGAGCACCAACAACAGAAUUAUGCAGAGCCUUGUCAAAUGUUGUUGCACUGAACAGAGGCAUGGGUAAAGCUCUCAAUUUUAGUAUGCAAAUGUAUGCAGUAGUCAAUUUAAUUAAAAUGUGUUUAUGUAGGCAUAUGUAUGGAGUACUAGUCCUUUUAGUGUAGCAGUAGUGCUUGCUUGAUUGCUUGCAAUAGUUUAGUUGCUCUUUUAGUUGCUCAUAAUUAAGUGCAGGAGUAUCUUCUUCUCUGUUCUUGCUGUCAUCUUCUCUUAGCUGCUCAUAAUUAAGUGUAGGAUUUUCUCUUUUCUUUUCUCUUCUCUUCUCUUGCAAGUAAUUUAACUAAAAAAAUUAGUUAACUAAAAAUUUUCAGUUAAAGUUAACUGAAAACGUUCCAUGUCAAAUUGUGUACUCCCAUUGCUUUAUUUGAUCAUUUGAGUUAACAGAGUAUUUAACUUUUUAACUUUAACUGAUCAUUGUUUUAUUUGAUCCUCAUUGUGUACUUCCAUUGUUCUACUCCUGCAUUUAGUACUAUAUCUGCAUUGUUCUACUCCCAUUCAGUUAACAGAGUAGUUCAUGUCAAACAAAUUCUGAAAUAUACCUGCAUUUAGUAUAUCUCCAUCUCCUGCAUCUUCAUCUCCUGCAUCUUCAAUCAUCUCAUCUUCUGCAGGUGGAGUGUUGUUGAGGUCCAGGAGAACCAUCUUCUACAGGCGAGACGACGAGGCCGUUGUCAGUGGUGAGCUGGUACUACAGGAGAAGGAACAUGCCCAGGAGAAGAAGGAGCACGCCCAGGAGAACAAGAAGGAGCAGGAUUAAGGCCCUAAGGACCUGGCAUCGCUGCUGCUGGACCUGGGACCUAGGAUUGCUGCUGCUGGACUUGGGAACUGGGAUUGCUGCUGCUGUGUGCCUCCUUGGCACCCCUGGAUCUGGGAUCGCUGCUGGAAACAAGGACCAGGGAUCGCUGCUGGAGGCGAGGACCUGGGAGCGCCUGGGACCUGGGCGCAUGGAGGAGAAGCAGGGGCAGGCGGAGGAGAAGCAGGGGCGGGCGAGCGGACGAUGGCCUGGUGAACGGGCGGGCUAUGGCCUCGCGGAUGGAGGAAGACGAUGGGGAUACCGAUUCAAACUAGGGGCAACGAUGUAAAUUCCACCGUUUUCACCUGGUCGGAACUAAUCCUCCAGCGACUUACAUUUCGGAAUGGAGGGAGUAGGUGAUAACAGGUACUCCUAUAAUUUGGGUAUGUUAGGGUCCGCUAGCUGCUAUACAAGUAUGAUUAACAUCUUGUCUUAGCUUCACUAGGGCAAUAUGCUCCACAAUAGUUGCCACUGAUCUCUUCUUAACCAGCUGGCUACGUCCUCCCCAGUUACCCAGGCGCUCCCUGUAAGAAUGGUGCCUGUCACCCUGCAUAUUCCUGUGAAUAUACCGUGCCGGGGAAGAA